ensembl:lncRNA
CCACUGUACAGCAAGGGGGUCAGGUUAUCCUUACAUGUAUACAUUACAAUUACAGUUUUUCCCCCACCCUUUCUUCUGUUGCAACAUGAGUAUCUAGACAAAGUUCUCAAUGCUAUUCAGCAGGAUCUCCUUGUAAAUCUAUUCUAAGUUGUGUCUGAUAAUGAUUUUCUUACACACAGUUUUAUAUAUAUAUAUACAUAUAUACACACACACACACACACACAUAUAUAUAUACCUACACACACACAUACACUUUUCUUUUUGGUCCUUUUAGGGCUGCACUUGCGGCAUAUGGAAGUUUUCAGGCAAGGGGUCAAAUCAGAGCUACAGCUGUCAGCCUAUACCACAGCCAUAGCAACACCAGAUCUGGGCCACAUCUGCAACCUACACCACAGAAACACCAGAUCCUUAACCCACUGAUGGGGCCAGGAUUGAACCAACAUCCUCAUGGAUACUAGUCGGGUUUGUUAUCACUGAGCCACAAUGGGAACUCCAGUUUUUAAUAUAUUUUGAAAGAACUAAUGUCCUCAACAUUGACUUAUCAUAUGAGUUUAUUAACACUGUCACAGAACAUCAACAUUUCAGGGAGUUCAUUUUGGAAAAUGCUGCAUUACAUUAUUUUGUCUCUGGAUGUAAUGAAAAUUCUUGCAAGAAAGUAUUAUGAAAACAACUGAGCCCCCAAAUAUCACCAAAGAGGGUCAGGCAGGAAGUACAUACAGUUCCAGCUGCUUCCUUACCAACUCUGAAAAAAGCCCUCCACUCACCACACCUCUGAACCUUCAAUUCUCAAUCCUGAGGCUCGGUUAGUGAGACUACGUAAAUCUCCAUGAAUGGUUUUAUUAAGAAUGAUUAUUAGAAGCUUGUAGCUCUCAGGCACAUGGGAAUAACCACAUGCUAGACCAUGAGGCACAUUUGCAAAAUAUCCCUUUUUUCUGAAAAUAUGAAAACCUCAUGCAUCCAUACCAAUAAUCAUUUUUUACAACUUACUGUACCAGUGUGCAAAAAGUAUUUCUGAAUGUCAGUAGACUGGAAAAUCAAUAUAUUAAUUGCAAUUUCUCUCCUUGCAAAACUGCUCAUGGGGUAGAGGGAAGGUCUUUUCUUAUAUAAGGUUAUUUCUCUGAGUCAACUAAAACUCCCACUAUAUAGAUAUUUGCAAAGUUUAGUGUGUGCAUGGGUUGGUGUCUUGGUCUGAGUAUCUGAUUAUCAGAAUGAAAUUAUUACACAUAACUAUAAAGACAAGGAGGCAGUGAAGAGGCAUCAUUUUCUUUCUUCCUUUCCCCCUCCCUUUUUAUAAAUUUUGUAAAUCUAUACUCUACCCAGCUCUCUGCAUGUGCUGGGGAUACAAAGACACAUGAGACUAAUUCUGUUCUUGAAUUUCACAAUUAAAUAAGGAAAUAUGAAAGAAAGAUAUAAGAAGGAAAAAUGUUCAGAAGAAGUGAAUGGCCCAAGAAGCGCCUGGGCUCUAAAGAAAGGGAGAUAAUACUACAGAGCAUAAGCUGGAAAAAGGAGACAGGAUUUAAAGUAGGUAGAAAGUUAAGACUUCUCAAGUAAAACAAAAAUAAGAAAGACUAUAAAAUCACUGGGAGGCUUCAAGUAUAUGUUUAGUGAAUCAUUUGUAAGAUAAUCAUAAAAAUAUAACAAUAAAGCAAUAAAAUUAUGUAUAAAUGGUAACACUGACCUACUUAAAAUGUGUGGUAAUACUGUUCAGAAAGCUGUGAAAGCUCAUUGAAAUUCACCUUUUACAAGAUAUGUCUAUUAAAAUGAUAUUGGCAUUUCCUACUGUGUGUGUUAGCUUCUUGGGAAGCUGAAACUUUACAUCUCAAUCAAGGUUCAUCUUCAAAUCAGUAGCAAUUUCUAGGAGUCAGUCAGAACUUGAAACUCACAGUCAUCUUUGGGUGGGGGCUAAUCUAUUACCUGAUACAACUGACCACCAUCCCUCUAUUUUUGAAUUGUAGACUGUUCUCCAACUUAACCAAAACAUUAUAUAUAAAUUUGCUAAGAGAAUGCCUUUGACUCAUAACUGUCCUCAGACACAGCUCAUGAAAAAGGCCAUGUGUUAGAAAAUGAAAAGUCUGAGACAAGAUAAGGAAAUUCUAGACCCAAUCUUUCUUGCUCUAGGUUGCCACCAUUUACAACCCAACAUAUACGACAUUUUGGUGCUUUAGAUUCUUUUUCUCCAACAUAAAAAAAUAUUAGACACAAUAUUGAACUGCUUUUUAAAAUACAUAGGGAGCAUGCAUCAAAAUUAUUUCUAAAGCUAAGGUCUUUACAAGGUAAAAGUCUCUAGAUCCUUAUUUAAUUAAAAGGUAAAUAACAACAUAUAUAUUCCACAGAAAACUAUUUUAAAUGCAUUAUAGAAUAAGCAAUUUUUAAUUUCCUUGGAUAACAGCCAAUAGAGAACUCCAUUCUCAGAUAAGUAUUUUUUUUAAAGACAGGAAUGAAAUUAUAAAAAGGGCUGUAAUUAAGGAGUUCCCUUGUGGCACAGUGGAUUAAGGAUUUGGCAUUGCCACUACAUCAGCUCAAGUCACUGCUGUGGCACAUGUUCAAUCCCUGGCCUAGGAACUUCCACAUGCCAUGGGUGCAGGCCAAAAAAAAAAAAAAGGAGUUACCCAAUGUGAUUAUUCUCAUAUUAUUUUUGGGAAAUUAUAUAAAGCAUUAAAACAUUACUAAAAUUCUAAAACUUAUAAAUGUGCUUCAGUCUGAAACAAUACUCACAGCUAAUUCUAUUAUAAUACUAUGAACAGGAUUCUGGUAAUUAUCACUCGGUUUGGGUUCUUUUUAUUAUUCCUAUUAACUGUAGACACAUAUUGGAGACAAGACUGAGAUUAGUUCAGACAGCACAGAAUGAUUGCUGCACAAUGUUCUUAGAGUAAUAGACCAAGAGUAUAGUUUCAAUGAGUAAAUCAAGUUACCCUUCUUCUCGAAAUAGUUUCCAACCUCUAUGUAACAUAAUAUACCAAACUGUUAUGCUGGCUUUCAAGAAUCACCAUGAUUGUACCAUUAACUUUGUGUUUGUAUUGCAAAUUAAAACAAAGUUUAUUUCUUGUUCACACUGCAUGUCCAUCACAGGGUGACAUAGUGCUCAGCUUUUCAUAAUCACUCAGGGUCUUGGGUGGAAUGAAAGAAAAAACUGCCAACCCAGAGCCCCCGUAUUCAGAGAAAAUAACCUUUAACAAUUUCGGCAGUCAUCAGGGCAGAGAGAAAUGUGGUGGGUACCUUUUUCUCCAAAUUACCCCCUAUCUUCCCGUGAAAGCCUGGGGGUGGGGUUCCUGAAGGAAAGGCCUUGGAAAGUGUGAACCUUCCCUUCCAAUUAUGACUGUGGCCCCAAGGGGCAGCACUCACUCAUUCUACCUCACACUCAGCCUCCAGCAAUUCAUCAGUAUUUCUCAUUUAGUGCUCCUUACAAACAUACAUGUCUUCUGAAGACUUCUAUAGCAGGUAAACAAAUGACUCAGGCUGUGUCUCCCUGCAGGCAGGACUUUUCCAGGUUUGAGGAAAGAGGUUUGCCUUGAGAACUCAGUUCUUUGAUGGGUCCAAGAAAGGCACUGAUUAUUUAGUUUGUCAAGCUUUUUCUAGUUUUAAGGGCAGAACUGAUGACUUCUCAGUUUCUUUACAUGUCUGAGCUCAAACUGGAAGUCCUCUUAGACUGCUAGACUAUUUUUCAGCCACAAAACUAUUAUAUAUCUACUAUAAAAACAGUUGUUAGAUAUUGAAAGUCUCCCUUCUUUGCCAGGUCUUUGAAGUCCCCUAUCUAGUGAUAAAGACAAUUAUCAAUAAUGGUAUAAAUCCAUCCAAACUAUUCUUGGACGUCAUUCUAUUAGAGAAUUCCAGGCUCCAUCUUCAGACAUCCUCUCUUCUCAAUCUACCCUCAUUCCCUUGAUGAUCUCAUCCAGUCCCACAGCUCUAAAUAUUCUUAUUUAUGCUGACAACUCUCAAAUUUAUAGCUUCAGUCUAGACUUUGCUCCCAAAUUCAGAGUCAUAUAUCCAACUGCCAACUUUGAAUCUCUACUUUGAUAUCUAAAAGAAAUCUUAGGCUUUAAGUUUUUCUAUCCAAACCUUCCCCACCUGCAGAGUCAGCAUUUCAGUUGAAACUUCAUCUUCCAGUUACUCAGGCUAAAUGCCUCUCUAUUAUCUGCAAUACUUUCCAUUCCUUUAUAUCCUACCAUUCAAUCUAUCAGAAAAUCAUGCUGGUUCUACCUUCAAAAGACAUCUAGAAUCUGACCACUUCUUCAAAUCCACUGCUAAUACCCAAAUCUGAGUUACUGUCAUCUUUUUACUGGUUUGGAACAAUAGCUUCUUAAAAGGCCUCUUUACCUCUAUCUAUGUUUCUCCAUUCUGUCCCCAAACUUUCAUGUUUCUCCAGACUGAUCCAUUUAAAAUAAAAUCAGACUGAUCCAUUUAAAAUAAAAGGUAGAUCAAGUUACUCUUCGGCUCAAACUUCUGCAACAACUAUUUUACUCUAUGUAGAAGCCAAAUCCUUACAAGAUCCUAGCUCUGCACUAUCCAAUAUGGCAGCUACCAGGCACCUGUGGCUGUUGAAACUUAAUUUCUCAAUGUGACUAGUCCAAAUUGAGAUAUGCUCUAGGUAGGAAGUAUUCACCAUACUGCAAAGUCUUAGUACACAAAAUUUAAACUAUCCCAUUGAUUUUUUCAUAUUGAUUAUAUGUUAAAAUGAUAAUAUUUUUGCUAUAUUAAAUAAAAUACUCUAACAUUAAUUUCAUAUUUAUUUUUCUGUUUUUUCAGGGUUUUUUUCUGAAAAGUUACCAUUACAUAUCUGAUUUGCAUUAUAUUUGUUUUAAACAGUCCUGCUCUGUAUAAUCCAGAUC